rnacentral:rRNA from 1 species
CGUGCUUAACACAUGCAAGUCGAACGAGAAUCUACUGAAGGAGGAUUCGUCCAACGAAGUAGAGAAAGUGGCGGACGGGUGAGUAACGCGUGAGGAACCUGCCUUGAAGAGGGGGACAACAGUUGGAAAACGACUGCUAAUACCGCAUAAAAUCAUAGGAUGGCAUCAUCUAAUGAUCAAAGAUUUAUCGCUGAAAGAUGGGCUCGCGUCUGAUUAGCUGGUUGGUGAGGUAACGGCCCACCAAGGCGACGAUCAGUAGCCGGACUGAGAGGUUGAUCGGCCACAUUGGGACUGAGACACGGCCCAGACUCCUACGGGAGGCAGCAGUGGGGGAUAUUGCACAAUGGGCGCAAGCCUGAUGCAGCAACGCCGCGUGAGGGAAGACGGUCUUCGGAUUGUAAACCUCUGUCUUUGGUGAAGAAGAAAGUGACGGUAGCCAAGGAGGAAGCCACGGCUAACUACGUG